AUGUCUGACCAGAUACUGAAAGUCAAAGGUCAGCAGAUGGAAGCAGAGCUGGUUGGGACAUGGAGAAUUGUCUCAGAGCACGUCUCGAUGAUACUUCAUCAAGAGUCUGCUGCUUCCAGGCUUGCUUUCUUCAGUCAGCUGAAUGCAGGGAACGAGGAAGCUCCAGGGCAGAGCUGCAAGAUGGAAGGAGCCAGGAUCCCUGAGUCGGCCUGCAACAGACCGCCUGCUGACCAGGAACACCUGCCGUGGAAGUUUACCAGAGCGAGAGAGAGACUUCUGUUGUGCUUUGGCCAGUUAAUGUAGACGUGUGAUGUGACAGAGUUGGGACGUUUUAUUAGGCUGCAGUACUUUCUUAGAGGUGUAAUCUGAAGGAGGCUACUACUCAGGUGAAAACUGGUGAUGAGGAUUUGUGAUGCCAACUGUGAAGGUUGCCAGCAUGGAGGAGAGACUGAUCUUCAGAGCACUCUCGUUUAAUAAUAUCUUAGGGCUAAGAAUUAUUAGUUUUUAUUGAUUUCCUAGAAUUUACAUAAUUGAAAAAUUAGCAAAUGUAUAAGGUAUGUAUGAUGUGGCAUUUUCCAAACUUAAGUCAUUUCCCUACUCCUUCAUUGUUUUUGCUGUGUUUUAUACCACAGCAUUUUAUCUCACUCUUGUUUUUUGUUUGUUGUUCUGUUUGUUUGGUAACGUCUGUUGCCAAGCUUCCUUUUUUUGCUUGAGGAAGUUCUCCCUGAGCUAACAUCUGUGCCAGUCUUCCUCUAUUUUGCAUGUGGGAUGCUGCCACAGCAUGGCCGAUGAGUGGUGUAGGUCUGCACCUGGGACCCGAACCCACCAACCUGGGCCACUGAAGUGGAUGUGUGCCGAACUUAACCACUACACCACAGGGCCGGCCCCUUUCUCACUUUUUUCUUUUAAACUUAGCAUUGUCAUAAGAAGUAAUACAUGUGGAGUCAUAGGUUGGUGUGUUAUUUUUUCCUAAUAUCUAUUUGAAUAAUACAUACUUAUUUAAAAAUCCCAACAUGUGGUAGAUAACUUUAUUUUAAACGCCACUAGUGAUAUUUCUAUCAUACCUGGGAAAUGCUGUUCACAUAAUGAAUAUUAUUUUUUAGGAUCUUCAGUGCUUAAUCCAUAAAAUUCUAAUAGAAAUAGAUGCAGUCACAGGAACUAGCGGACGUACUGUGUCUAACAGGGCUUUGGUUACAGCUUUUUCCUAUCACAGAUUAGUAUUCUUUUGAUUAAUAUCUACAUUUGUUUGUGACUGAGGGACAACGAAAACAGUGUAUUUAAAUAAUUUUUGAACAGUGUUAAGCAGGAUGUGCUUCUAAAGUUAGUGAGGAAUGGGCCUAAGGAAGUGCUAAUGACCGUGACAUUAAGAUACAAAAAUCUUGGAAAAUACUGAUACUUGUGGUAGAGAAAGAAUUUGAUAAUCCCGUGAUCCGAGGGUGAAGAAGAUAAUGAGGCUUGACCGGCCCCGGGGAAGCGUUGUUAGAUUAGUGACUUAAAUUUCAGGUAUUGAGGAAAGAAUUCCAGUAGGGAAGUUUUUCGCAUUUUCCUCUUCUUCUCCUUUUAUUUGCCCAUAUCUUUUUGUUCACUUGAGAGUAUGUAAGAUGUUGUCCUGGGGACAUUUCCUAUCAGUGUCAGCAGGAAAGAGUACUUUGUUGGAGGGGCCCUGGCGAUCCUUGGUAGCUGAGGAAGUACCCACGUGCUGCUUCUCUCCCCUCUCAAAUGGUUUUAAAGUUCUAGAAUUUGCCUAAACCAUUGGAUUUAUAUAUAAUUUAAAUGUUAACUUCUUCCGUCAUUUUGGUAAGUUUGCCCUUGGUGUAUAAAUUAAUACUUUAAAUUUGUUCUAAAACAUCUGUGUUUAAAGUUGAAAAGCAAGUUGCUUAUUUCAGGUGUUCCAGAACUUUGUAGAUGAGUCUUAUACACUAUAGACAGUGAGCACAUUGAAACUUAGUCUUUUUGGUUUUCCUUUUGAAGAGUCUAACUUCAAUAUAGUCCUGUUUUCGCUCCUGACUUCCUUUACCCAUUUUUUAUGAUUUGAAUCAUUAACACCCUAUACCAGCAGGCAGGAUAGUAAAAGCAGGCAAGGUAAAUAAAGGAAAAGUGAUAGAACUUCA
rnacentral:lncRNA from 1 species